rnacentral:rRNA from 1 species
UACGGAGGAUGCGAGCGUUAUCCGGAUUCAUUGGGUUUGAAGGGUGCGUAGGCGGACUAUUAAGUCAGUGGUGAAAUCCUGCAGCUUAACUGCAGAACUGCCAUUGAUACUGAUAGUCUUGAGUUUGGUUAAGGUAGGCGGAAUGUGUAAUGUAGCGGUGAAAUGCUUAGAUAUUACACAGAACACCAAUUGCGUAGGCAGCUUACUGAGCCGACACUGACGCUGAGGCACGAAAGCGUGGGGAUCGAACAGGAUUAGAUACCCUGGUAGUCCACGCCGUAAACGAUGAUUACUCGCUGUUGGCGAUACACUGUCAGCGUCUUAGCGAAAGCGUUAAGUAAUCCACCUGGGGAGUACGCUCGCAAGAGUGAA